GGGCAUUGAGCACAGACUGAAUGACUCAGUGACGCUUGGAUCAGCUCAGAUCAAAUUCUCAAGCAAACAGAUGGCUGGGGAUAUUCAGCAGCAACGGUGAGGAGAGAGAGGAACAAUUCACAUUUCAAGUGACCCUUCCUCAAAACGGUCUGUUCUGAAGGAGCUUUCCCGCAGAAAUCACUGGAUUGAAAGGUACUCAGGAAGUUCCUGUCUCAGCCGAAUUCCUAAGUCCUGUCUCGUCCAUAACCGCAUCAAAGCCAGUUGGUCAGCCAGAGAGAGAUGGAGAGGGAGAUCUGGAGCCUUCAGUAAAUCCUGCAGCCGCUUCUGGCAACAAAUGGCCACAAACCGAUCAAAGGUGAAAGUGACGGUGAACCAGACAGAGCAGUCAGUGGCUGCAUAAAGCAGGACGGCGUGGAUAUUACACACGGGGACGGAGUCCUUCAGGAAAUAAAACUGUUCCCGAUAAACAAUGGGAAUGUGUCUCAGGAUCAGGUCGAGGAUAAUGACCAGGAGAUCCGCCGCUGCCAUGGCCCCCAGGGGCUUCCUCGUGUUACUGACAGCAAGAUCACCUGAGAGGGACAAACACAGGCACAGACCAAGUUACAAGGAUGUGUCUCAUAACUUCGGAAACACACCUGUCCAUGGACCAUCACAUGGAACACACUGGGAAGUGAACAACAGCCUGACACACACCAUUUCACUGUUUCUGAGCGACACAAUGCCAGCAAUCGAUAUACUACAGAGCCAAAACCCGAGGCCAGGGAAAGAUACAGAGGGACAGAGAGACUCACAUUAAAGACAGAAACAGACAGUUAAUUAAUUGAAAAGAUGUUGUGAAAAUAUGGGGAAAAAGACAUGGCCGUGGGACUAACUCGAGCAGUGAGAUCUUCGAAAGCAAAAUUACAAGAAUGAGAACAUUGAAUAAAGGCAUUGUCAGAUCAGCGGA